GCAAGUCGAGCGGUAACAGAGAGUAGCUUGCUACUUUGCUGACGAGCGGCGGACGGGUGAGUAAUGCCUAGGUAUCUGCCCAGUCGAGGGGGAUAACAGUUGGAAACGACUGCUAAUACCGCAUACGCCCUACGGGGGAAAGGAGGGGACCUUCGGGCCUUUCGCGAUUGGAUGAACCUAGGUGGGAUUAGCUAGUAGGUGAGGUAAUGGCUCACCUAGGCAACGAUCUCUAGCUGGUUUGAGAGGAUGAUC
rnacentral:rRNA from 1 species